ensembl:lncRNA
UUCAAAGACCCCUUACACUCUGUUCUUGGUUGUUCCAGCUUCAUCCUGGUCUGAAUCUCCGUCCUAUGAAUUGCCUUUCUGGGUUUCCUUCCUCAAGAGAAAAAUGGGGUUACUAAUGCCAACAGGAAGAAAUGAUAAGAAAACUAAACAUGGAGGUAGAAGAAUUGUUCCAACCCUGAGACUGCCAUUUAAUGAGUGUGUGAACUGGAGAAAGUCACUUACUAUCUCUCAGUCUGAAUUUACUCAUCCUACGACAUGAACUUGGCAAGGUACUAGUGAAAACUAGACUCCCAAGUCCAGCACUAGAAUUAGAAAAUCAGAAGGAGGAUGUGUGGGACAGGAGUUGAGGGACACAAAGAGUAAGAAUCCACCAGACACUUAUUAUCGUAUAUUCUGCUGUGCUUAAGUGCUCUACAAACAACAUGUGACAACAGUGAAGAAAGUUUACCUGUGAACAUCAUUUUGAGGAUCUUAUGUUGAACCGAAAUGUAUGUAUACACUAUAAUUUACCAACAACUGUGGUUUCCUGCUCCAUUACAGACACUGCACACUUCUCAGAUAAAAUUCAGCACUUCAUUGUGUGGUGGACUUCUUUUACUUGAAGUAUAAUUUUCAUUUUCUGGUGGGGAGUUAUUGAUAAAAACCUUUCUGUGUGUACGCGUGUUCUCCAUAGAAACAGUUCUUUUUUAAGGAGAGUAAAUAUUAAGGAUAGAGGAAUCAUUUAGAGGUUUGAAGCCAGAAAUGUCUGCUUGGAGUUAAUCGUAUUUUCCUUCCCAAUCCCCAUGAAUAGCUGAGGUUGCAUAAGUGAUACGCAGUGUGAUUAAGGUUUACUGAGUACAAGGCAUAAGAUAUUUACAAAGUUUUGGCAUGAAACAUGCUCUUUGCUAACACUCUAUACUUUGUCCCACACAAAUCUGGGGAAAAGGGCAUCUGCGUCCUUGUUUUGUUUGUGGAUAGACUGUUUUCUAGUCUGUGGAAUUCCUGCUCAGUUAAACAAGCCCCCAAAGUCCAAAGAUACACACACAAAAAGCUCAAUUCUUUUCAUAUUUAAGAUCGAUCAUAAUACCGUCUCUCUACAAUCACACUGGUAGAGCGGUUGAGUUGGUUUUUCAAUUCUCAGAAUAAUCUAAUAAAAUCAUCCUUGUGGUUUAGAUGGUUGAAAAACCAGCCUUCAAGAAGACAACUGAAAACAAGGGUGACUCAAGAGACAGUUGGUUUAGUCUUCAAAGGUAAAUAUGGAAGAUGCUCAUGAUUUUGGAAGCUGAGCAGUUUAGCAAGCUACAAUGGUUGGAUGGGGAAGGGGGCAGGCUGCCAGAAAUAUCAUGGUCUUCCAGCAGCAAUAAAGUGUUUGAAACACAAAUUUUACUUUAAAGUGAAAUGUUUUGUUGUAGGAGAUGUCAAGAAUUGUCAAAGUGGGCAAGGUUCAAAUCUAACACAGUGGCAAUUUAGUUUUUAUUUAGUUAGAGAAAAAAUAAGUAAAGACUUCUUUAAAAAGUUGGCACAAGGAGGAGUAAAUGAAGUUUUACUCCCUAGUUUCUAAAAGAAAAGGCUUAGUCUCAAAACCACGUUAUCUACUUGCCCUCUGGAGCUUUGCUGUUCUAUAGAGUGGCAAUCUGGCCCACUGUGUGUCGCCAUCUUUCAGCU